rnacentral:rRNA from 1 species
UACGUAGGUGGCAAGCGUUGUCCGGAAUUAUUGGGCGUAAAGCGCGCGCAGGCGGCCUUUUAAGUCUGAUGUGAAAGCCCACGGCUCAACCGUGGAAGGUCAUUGGAAACUGAAAGGCUUGAGUACAGAAGAGGAAAGCGGAAUUCCACGUGUAGCGGUGAAAUGCGUAGAGAUGUGGAGGAACACCAGUGGCGAAGGCGGCUUUCUGGUCGUGUAACUGACGCUGGAGGUGCGAAAGCGUGGGGAGCAAACAGG